ACUGGGGAAACCCAUCCAGGUUUGGGAAUUGGGGAACCCAUCCAGGUUUGGGAAUUUGGGAAACCCAUCCAGGUUUGGGAAUUGGGGAACCCAUCCAGGUUUGGGAAUUUGGGAAACCCAUCCAGGUUUGGGAAUUGGGGAAACCCAUCCAGGUUUGGGAAUUGGGGAAACUCAUCCAGGUUUGGGAAUUGGGGAAACUCAUCCAGGUUUGGGAAUUGGGGAAACCCAUCCAGGUUUGGGAACUGGGGAAACCCAUCCAGGUUUGGGAACUGGGGAAACCCAUCCAGGUUUGGGAAUUGGGGAAACCCAUCCAGGUUUGGGAAUUUGGGAAACCCAUCCAGGUUUGGGAACUGAGAAAAUUCAUCUAUUUGCUUAGGAAUUGGGAAAACUCAUCCAGAUUUGUUUGGGAAUUGGGAAAACUGUCCCCAGGCUCUGGACGCAGCUGGCACAGCAGGAGCUCCGUGCCAGGGGUGCCACUGCAGAGCCCCGUGGUGCCACCAAGACCCGCUGGUGACAAGGACAAAACCCCUGGGAUGUGGCACAGAGCUGGCUCCACACACACACAGAAAUAAUUCAGGAAAACGAGUUGGGAUUGCAGGAAAGGCAGGGGGAGUUCAGGGGAGUUUAAGGGGGACACCUCCCACUGUCCCAGCUUGCUCCAGCCUGGCCUUGGACACUCCCAGGGAUCCAGGCUGGCCUGGGAAUUCCAUCCCAUUCCCUCAGCACCCUCACAGGGAGGAAUUCCUUCCCAAAAUCCCUCCUGGAGUUGGUAAAGCUGGAAAAAUCCGUGUCACAAGGGAUGGACCAGCUCAGGAGCUUGGAGGGAAGCUUGGAGGGAAGCUCCUUCCACCCCUGGGUCCCAUCCCACAGGGCAGGAAAUAUCCCAGGAUCCUGGCAGGAACGGGAUUCCAGCUCUCCUCGUGUCAUCCUCACUGCCAGCACCACCACCAAACCUUCCAAGAGCAAAAAUCCUCUGAAUUCCACAAAAUCCUGCUGCAGAGGAGAUCCAGGAAGGCAAACUGGGAGUAUUUAUAGGCCUGGAUUAGAGCAGGAUCUGCUGGGAAUCCAGGGAAUGGAGCAGAUUCCCAUUCCUGGAGAGGUG